UGGGGAAUCUUGCGCAAUGGGCGAAAGCCUGACGCAGCCAUGCCGCGUGAGUGAUGAAGGCCUUNGGGUUGUAAAACUCUUUCACCGGGGACGAUAAUGACGGUACCCGGAGAAGAAGCCCCGGCUAACUUCGUGCCAGCAGCCGCGGUAAUACGAAGGGGGCUAGCGUUGCUCGGAAUUACUGGGCGUAAAGGGCGCGUAGGCGGAUCAGCAAGUUGGGGGUGAAAGCCCGGGGCUCAACCUCGGAAUUGCCUUCAAAACUGCUGAUCUAGAGUACGGGAGAGGUGUGUGGAACUCCGAGUGUAGAGGUGAAAUUCGUAGAUAUUCGGAAGAACACCAGUGGCGAAGGCGACACACUGGCCCGUUACUGACGCUGAGGCGCGAAAGCGUGGGGAGCAAACAGGAUUAGAUACCCU
rnacentral:rRNA from 1 species